AAGACUCUCGGCAACGGAUAUCUCGGCUCUUGCAUCGAUGAAGAAUGUAGCGAAAUGCGAUACUUGGUGUGAAUUGCAGAAUCCCGUGAACCAUCGAGUCUUUGAACGCAAGUUGCGCCCGAAGCCAUUAGGCUGAGGGCACGCCUGCCUGGGUGUUGCACAU
rnacentral:rRNA from 1 species